rnacentral:rRNA from 1 species
GUCGAACGGUGAAGCAGAGCUUGCUCUGUGGAUCAGUGGCGAACGGGUGAGUAACACGUGAGCAAUCUGCCCCUGACUCUGGGAUAAGCGCUGGAAACGGCGUCUAAUACCGGAUACGAGCUGCGAAGGCAUCUUCAGCAGUUGGAAAGAAUUUCGGUCAGGGAUGAGCUCGCGGCCUAUCAGCUUGUUGGUGAGGUAAUGGCUCACCAAGGCGUCGACGGGUAGCCGGCCUGAGAGGGUGACCGGCCACACUGGGACUGAGACACGGCCCAGACUCCUACGGGAGGCAGCAGUGGGGAAUAUUGCACAAUGGGCGGAAGCCUGAUGCAGCAACGCCGCGUGAGGGAUGACGGCCUUCGGGUUGUAAACCUCUUUUAGCAGGGAAGAAGCGAAAGUGACGGUACCUGCAGAAAAAGCGCCGGCUAACUACGUGCCAGCAGCCGCGGUAAUACGUAGGGCGCAAGCGUUAUCCGGAAUUAUUGGGCGUAAAGAGCUCGUAGGCGGUCUGUCGCGUCUGCUGUGAAAUCCCGAGGCUCAACCUCGGGUCUGCAGUGGGUACGGGCAGACUAGAGUGCGGUAGGGGAGAUUGGAAUUCCUGGUGUAGCGGUGGAAUGCGCAGAUAUCAGGAGGAACACCGAUGGCGAAGGCAGAUCUCUGGGCCGUAACUGACGCUGAGGAGCGAAAGGGUGGGGAGCAAACAGGCUUAGAUACCCUGGUAGUCCACCCCGUAAACGUUGGGAACUAGUUGUGGGGUCCAUUCCACGGAUUCCGUGACGCAGCUAACGCAUUAAGUUCCCCCGCCUGAGGAGUACGGCCGCAAGGCUAAAACUUCAAAGGAAUUGACCGGGGAACCCGCACAAGCGGCCGGAGCAUGCGGAUUAAUCCGAUGCAACGCGAAGAACCUUACCAAGGCUUGACAUAUACGAGAACGGGCUAGAAAUAGUCAACUCUUUGGACACUCGUAAACAGGUGGUGCAUGGUUGUCGUCAGCUCGUGUCGUGAGAUGUUGGGUUAAGUCCCGCAACGAGCGCAACCCUCGUUCUAUGUUGCCAGCACGUAAUGGUGGGAACUCAUGGGAUACUGCCGGGGUCAACUCGGAGGAAGGUGGGGAUGACGUCAAAUCAUCAUGCCCCUUAUGUCUUGGGCUUCACGCAUGCUACAAUGGCCGGUACAAAGGGCUGCAAUACCGCGAGGUGGAGCGAAUCCCAAAAAGCCGGUCCCAGUUCGGAUUGAGGUCUGCAACUCGACCUCAUGAAGUCGGAGUCGCUAGUAAUCGCAGAUCAGCAACGCUGCGGUGAAUACGUUCCCGGGUCUUGUACACACCGCCCGUCAAGUCAUGAAAGUCGGUAACACCUGAAGCCGGUGGCCCAACCCUUGUGGAGGGAGC